AGAGCCUUCUGGGGUGGUGGAUAGUUAUUGAGGCUGAGAGAGGUGAAGCACCUUGCCUAAGGUCAUACAGCCAGUGUUCGAGCCCAGCUGCUAAGAAGACCGCAGCAGCCUUCAUAAGUUGUAUCUUCCCCUUUACUGAAGAAUCACCAGUCACCUACAGUUGCACAGCAAGCAUGGGAAAAUAACUGAAAUUUUGAUGUGCCAUUUCUCACUUCUUUAAGAACCCUCCUUCAAAUUCCUGAAUAAAGCUGCUAACUAAGACAAAUGAAUUUUAAAAGUUUGAGACUUAAAUACCUCUCUACUAAAAGGGAAAUGGAUAAAAAGAUGCUGACUGCCAGGCUGGUUUCGGAUCCUUUGUAUUCUGUCAGAUGAGAACACUUGUUUACCUUCCAGGACUGACCUGAGCAUGAGAUUCUACAUCCCACCAGAGACGUACUCAACUGCUGACCACGAAGAGGUUCACAUGUGUAGGCUCUGUGGUACAGCUCAGCCUUUUGGAAGAGGGGAGAAGAAAAGCACCAGGAGGAUUAGAAUAAGUACUAGAUGAGAUGGUCGCUUUAUGAAAUUCAGUGCUCACAACUGACUUCUCAGUGAUGACUUCUCAUCUACCAGGCAAAGAGGUCUCAAAAAGCUGUCAAAAAGCCCUAUACUUAACGGAGACCAGCCACAGACUUCCUUCCUGUACCAGCUUUCCAAGAGGGUAAGUGAGUCUUCACCCUGAUAUUUUUGCCCCGGGUUUUACGAGGCUUCUCUUCUUUAUGCACCUUCAUGUGCUGCCUCAGAUGAGAGCUCUGACUGAAACAUUUGCCACAUUCACUGCACUGGUAGGGUUUCUCCCCAGUGUGGGUUCUCUGAUGUUGAAUAAGGUGGGAGCUCUGGCUGAAACACCGGCCACACUCAUCACACUGAUAGGGUUUUUCUCCAGUAUGAAUUCUCUGGUGCUGAAUGAGAUUUGAGCUCUGUUUGAAGCUUUCUCCACACUCAUCACAUUUGUAGGGCUUUUCCCCCGUAUGGAUCCGUCGAUGCUGAAUGAGAUUAGAACUCUGAAAGAAACUUUUCCCACAAUCAGCACAUUUAUGGGAUUUCUUUCCAGUAUGGAUCUUCUGGUGUUGAAAAAGAGUUGAACUCUGACUGAAACUCUUUUCACAUUCAGUACAUUUAUAGGGUUUGUCAUCCAAGCUUCUUCUGAGUCUACUGAAGCUUGAGUCAAAUCGAAUAGUCAUGCCCCACUUCUGCCGCUGCCGGCCUGUUUUGCGCUUGUUCUCAUAGGCCUUUCCUUGGCUUGAGCUCCGAGAAAUACCCGCUUUAGGCUUUGCUAACCUCAUGGUGAAUAACCAAAUGUAUUUGUAAGAGAGUUUACAGGCUUCUUCUGAACUAGUGUUUCAUUUCCUAGAGGUGUACAGCUCAGAAUUUUCUGUGUGUAGAAGGAAAAAAAAUUUAGAGAUGAUCAGAAAAAAAAUUACAGAUAUCUGUUAACUAUUCAAUUUUAAUAUCUCUUCAACCCACCAAAAUUGCAUUCAUGUUUAAAUUUAAAAAGUAUAAAUGCAAACAAAGAUAAUAUGGGGGGAAAUUUGGGGGAAAUACUUGCAAAGUAAUUCUAACAAUUCCAGAGUUUAAGCUUAACAAAUAUCACCAAAUUUUGACUGAGUUUACCACUGGAGUUUCUGUCUAUUGGGACAAGACAAAUUAAAAGUGAUCAGGUGAAAUAUAAAUCUUCCAAGCAUUACCAAAUGAGUACAUAAUUUUGAAGAACUAAAAAGUGGAGAUAAGGUAAAUCUUAAUGGGAAUGGAGUAACUCCAAAAGACAAUCAAAAUUUGUGUAACAGAACAUUACUAUGCUUUAAUAUUUAGUUCCAUGUUAAACUUCUACUAACUAGUAACUGCCUAAGGUAUCCAAAUGAAUAAGAAAUGACAAAUUACACUACUUUAUGAUAUAUUCCUGUUUAUCUGUAUUUAGCAUUCGAUUUCCAUAGCUCUAGAUGACAGUUUAGCUCUAAUUCUGUAGCAUAAAGUGUUUUGAAAAUUGAAACUUCUCUACAGGGAGUGGUAGGUUUACUUAGUCUAUGAAGACACGCUUUAUUAUUGGUUUUUAUAGAUCCUAAUGAUCCAAGAAAGCAAUUUGUUGAAAACCCAAAACGAAAGUACUGUUUUCGGAGACAGAAAAACUGCAAAAGAACUUUUACCAGAAAGUGGAAUGAAACUGAGUAGAAAACGCAUGGUAGGUAGGACACAAGAAAAGGAGAGGGGGGAGAAAAUGAGUUUACAUGUAAAACUAGGAUGGAAUUUUUAGAAUACCCAAAUGCUGCAAAAUUCAAAAUUUCAAAUGAUUUUAUUUAUUUAUAAGGCUGACUUGUGGCUAUUUAAAAUAACGGCCAAAACAAACCAACAAAAACCCCUACAAACCCCACAUAGGUGGCAAUGUCGGAAAAUCUAGAACUUCAAAAGCAAUAAAAUUAUUGGAACUAUUUUUCA
ensembl:lncRNA novel transcript